AGCGAACGCUGGCGGCAGGCCUAACACAUGCAAGUCGAACGAACUCUUCGGAGUUAGUGGCGGACGGGUGAGUAACACGUGGGAACGUGCCCUUAGGUUCGGAAUAACUCAGGGAAACUUGUGCUAAUACCGAAUGUGCCCUUCGGGGGAAAGAUUUAUCGCCUUUAGAGCGGCCCGCGUCUGAUUAGCUAGUUGGUGAGGUGAAGGCUCACCAAGGCGACGAUCAGUAGCUGGUCUGAGAGGAUGAUCAGCCACAUUGGGACUGAGACACGGCCCAAACUCCUACGGGAGGCAGCAGUGGGGAAUCUUGCGCAAUGGGCGAAAGCCUGACGCAGCCAUGCCGCGUGAAUGAUGAAGGUCUUAGGAUUGUAAAAUUCUUUCACCGGGGACGAUAAUGACGGUACCCGGAGAAGAAGCCCCGGCUAACUUCGUGCCAGCAGCCGCCGUAA
rnacentral:rRNA from 1 species